CUUCAAGCAGAUAAUGUGAGUUCUACUAAAGAAUAUGUUACUCUACUUCUGUUGAUUAAACUCUUCACUCUGACAACUACUCUCUCUUCAGUUUUUCUUUUUCUUCUUUAGAUGGAGUUUUGUUCUUGUUGCCCAGGCUGGAGUGCAGUGGCAUGAUCUUGGCUCACCACAACCUCCGCCUCCUGGGUUCAAGCACUCUCCUGCCUCAGCCUCCCAAGUAGCUGGGAUUACAGGCACCUGCCACCACGCCCGGCUAAUUUUGUAUUUUUAGUACAAUUGGGGUUUCUCCAUGUUGGUCAGGCUGGUCUCGAACUCCCGACCUCAGGUGAUCCACCUGCCUCAGCCUCCCAAAGUGCUGGGAUUACAGGUGUGAGCCACCGCGCCUGGCCUCUCUCUUCAAUUUCAAAACAAGAUCAAUUUUUCAUCACUCUUUGCUAAACAACAGGUAUUGCUCUUUGAUGCAUAAGAGGGCGACCUUUUCCCCUGCAGUAUUUCUACCACACAAUCAGUGUCUAAUUACCUAUUACUCUCCUCCCACAAAAAUCCCAAUGUCCUAAGGUCUUGGCCUGCUCCAUUUCAUGUUCAGUUGAUAGACCAUUUCUUUCCUCUAAGCCACAGUACUCUCCUGGUAGGAGAAAGGCACCCUGAACAUUAUCAGAAUGGUGAGUGACAUCAUAGUUUUACAUUGUUUUUCGCCACUCCCAAAUGCUAAUUCAGAUGAUACUUAAUUUUAAAAGCAAAGUCCUCCUUCUUCACAAAUUGGAUAGAAAUAAUCCUUCACCUAAUCAAUGAUCUUCACCCAAUCAAUGAUCCUUCCAUCCCAAUGAUCUUUCCAAGAAAGCACCAUGGAAGGUGUGUAAGGAUGCACAAUAAGAUUUCAAAGUUCACAUUGAAACGCAAUAGUAGGCUUUCCAAAAAACCUCAAAUAACUCAGUGAAACAUUUCAUAAGGUGAAGGUAACUGACUGCCUACAAAUAUCCUGCAACCUUUUCGUAUGUGAGUUAAAAAUAUAUAAUUUUUAGCAUAUUUGGACUUGUGAGUAUUCUACAGUGUAUAAUAUCAAAGGCAAACAGGGAAACCAGAGACUGUUAUUCCUCCUAGGAAUCCUCACUUACCAUCGGUCACUGGGUAAUGGCCUCAGGAUGCAUAUUACAUUUGUUUCGUUUCAUCAAAGAUAUAAAUCUUGAUGCCUAGUAACCUGCGAGGCCUGGAUAGACCCUCUGCCACAUAUGUUUACAUGAUGUCUCUUGCUUAUGGCCUCUCAUAUCUAUUAAUGCUUCAACUCAUGAGGGAUUGGCCACUGUCACUACAUUUGUAAGGAUUCUGUCAAGAAUGAAAUUAACUGAUGUGAAAGGAGUGAAUUGUACCUAAUGACCUCACCACACUCAUUUGUAAGGUUUCUCUCCGGUAUGCAUUCUGUGAUGACUUGCAAGAUUUGAACUCUGCCUGAAGACCUUGCCACACUCAUUACAUUUGUAACGCUUUUCUCCAGUGUGGAUUGCCAUAUGGGUAGUUAGACUUGAUCUUACCCUAAAGGCUUUCCCACACUCUGUACACCUGUAAGGUUUCUCCCCAGUAUGAAUUCUUCGGUGAUUUGCCAGGUGAGCAUUUUGAGUAAAGACCUUGCCACAUUCAUUACAUUUGUAAGGUUUUUUCCCAGUAUGGAUUGCCUGAUGGGUGGUUAGGCUUGAACGAACACUGAAGGCUUUCCCACACUCAUUGCAUCGGUAAGGUUUCUCUCCGGUGUGAGUCCUUUGAUGAUUUGCAAGGUGUGAGUUCUGAGUGAAGACCUUGCCACAUUGAUUACAUUUGUAAGGCUUCUCUCCAGUAUGGAUGACCUUAUGGGUAGUUAGGUUUGAAUGCAUACUAAAGGCUUUCCCACACUCAUUACACUUGUAAGGUUUCUCUCCAGUAUGAAUUCGCCGAUGAGUUGCAAGGUAUGAAUUGUGCCUAAAAACCUUGCCGCAUUCAUGACAUUUGUAAGGUUUCUCUCCAGUAUGUAUUGCCUGAUGAAAAGUUAGGCUUGAACGAUCACUAAAGGCUCUGCCACAGUCAUUACACUUGUAAGGUUUUUCUCCAGUAUGAACUCUCCAAUGCCUUGCAAGUUGUGAUGUUUGAGCGAAGACUUUACCACAUUCAUUACACUUGUAAGGUUUCUCUCCAGAAUGAAUUCCCCGAUGACUUCUAAGGUGUGAUUUUUGAGUGAAGCUCUUGCCACAUUCAAUACAUUUGUAAGGUUUCUCUCCAGAAUGGAUUGCCUGAUGGGUAGUCAGACUUGAACGAACACUGAAGGCUUUCCCACACUCAUUACACUUGUAAGGUUUCUCUCCAGUAUGAAUUCUUCGAUGAUUUGCAAGUUGUGAAUUUUGAGUGAAAACCUUGCUGCAUUCAUUGCAUUUGAAAGGUUUUGUUCCAGUAUGGAUGACCUGAUGGGUAGCUAGGUUUGAAUGCAUACUGAAGGCUUUGCCACAUUCAUUACACUUGUAAGGUUUCUCACCAGUAUGAACUCUCCGAUGCCUUCCGAGGUAUGAAUUGUACCUAAAGACUUUGCCACAUUCAUUACAUUUGUAAGGUUUUUCUCCAGUGUGGAUUGUCUGAUGGAUUGCUAGGCUUGAACGAACACUAAAGGCUUUGCCGCACUCAUUGCACUUGUAAGGUUUCUCUCCAGUGUGAAUUCUCCAAUGACUUAUAAGGUGUGAAUUUUGAGUGAAGAGCUUGCCACAUUCAUUACAUUUGAACGGUUUUUCUCCAGUAUGAAUUAACUGAUGGGUAGUUAGGUUUGAAUGUCCUCUAAAGGCUUUUCCACACUCAUUACACUUGUAAGGUUUCUCUCCAGUAUGAAUUCGCCGAUGAGUUGCAAGGUAUGAAUUGUGCCUGAAGACCUUGCCACACUCAUGACAUUUGUAAGGUUUUUCUCCAGUAUGGAUGACCUGAUGAAUAGUUAGAUUUGAACGAACAGUAAAGGUUUUGCCGCACUCACUGCAUUUGUAAGGCUUCUCUCCAGUAUGGAUGACCUGAUGGGUAGUUAAGUUCGAAUGCACACUAAAGGCUUUCCCACACUCAUUACACUUGUAAGGUUUCUCUCCAGUAUGAACUCUCCGAUGACUCGCAAGGUGUGAAUUGUAACUGAAAACCUUACCACAUUCAUUGCAUUUGUAAGGUUUCUCUCCAGUAUGAAUUCUCCAAUGCCUUGCAAGGCUUGAAGUCUGACUGAAGACUUUACCACAUUCAUUACACUUGUAUGGUUUCUCCCCAGUGUGAAUUCUCUGAUGAGUUGCAAGGCUUGAAGUCUGACUGAACACCUUGCCACAUUCAUUGCAUUUGUAAGGUUUCUUGCCACUAUGAAUUACCUGAUGGUUGGUAAGUGUUGACCUCACACUAAAGGCUUUGCCACACUCUUUACAUGUGUAAGGUUUCUCUCCAAUAUGAGUUUUCUGAUGUAGUGCAAGGCAUGAAUUUCGACUGAAGACCUUGUCACACUCAUAACAUUUGUAAGGUUUCUCUCCAGUGUGAACUCUCCGAUGUAGUGCAAGGCAUGAGUUGCGACUGAAACUUCUGUCACAUUCAUUACAUUUGUAUGGUUUCUCUCCAGUAUGAACUCUCCAAUGACGCGCAAGGUUUGAUUUUUGACUAAAGACCUUGCCACACAGAUCACAUUUAUAUCCUUUCUCUCCAGAAUGACUUACCUGACGUACAGUCAUGUGUGAGCCAUGAUUCAAGGCUUUGUCGCACUCAAUAUAUCUGUAAGGUUUUUCCCUAAUGCAUGAUUUCUGUUCUUGUGUGAGUAAUGAAGAACAGAUGAAAUCAGUCCCAUAUUUAUUAGAAACAUGGGUUUUGAUGGUAGAAGAAAUUAUUUGGGGUGGUGAAACUGAGGAACCAUGGUUGACAGACUUCUCAACAUGGUUACAUUCAUAAAUUUUCCCUUCAGCUUGAAACUGCUGCAGUUCAUGGGGAUGUGGUAGAAAGCUUAAUCCAAGCUGAUGUUUAAUAGACUUGUUUCCUAUACCUCUUCUAUCGCGUUGGUCUCUCCUACAAGUAAGAUUUUCUUUUGGGGCCGUAGUCACUUUGUUGCAAUUUCUUUCAUCAUCUCUCCACUGACAGUCAAAGUCGUGUAUUUUUUUCUUGAUUUCCCUGAAGCAAAACUCUUCAAUGUCAUGUUUUUCAUGUUGUUCCAAUGUCACUGUGUGGAAUACUUCUCCUGGGUUACCUUCCUGUUGUGGUGCUAGUUCCUUGAUUACACAGUUAC
rnacentral:lncRNA from 1 species